AGAAAAAUGAGAACUCAUGUGAUCUGAAGUAUCUGAUGCUGAUACAUCCGUAUAUGAUUUCAAAGUUCUCUGAUUGCU
rfam:Triticum aestivum genome assembly, contig: Triticum_aestivum_CS42_TGACv1_scaffold_502558_6BL